rnacentral:rRNA from 1 species
GACCAAGAGGUUGAGUUAUGUGUAUAGGUUAAAAAGACAGUUAGGCAGUUUUUUCAAUAUAAUGAUUCUUUAUUAAAGGGUAAAAUUUGGAUAUAAAGAGUUAAUUUAAUUUAUAUUUAAACGCUGAAUCUGUGAUAAUUAUGAGGGAAACUGGGAUUAGAUACCCCAUUAUUCAUUAUUUUAAAUAAAUAGUAAUUUACCUGAGUACUAUGAAUCUAAAAUUUAAAACUCAAAGGGCUUGGCGGUGUUUUAGACCUAUUAGGGGAACCUGUCUCGUAAUCGACAAUCCACGAUAUAACUGGCCUUUUUUUGUAUUCAGUUUGUAUACCGUCGUCGUCAGGUAACUUUUAAAAAUGUAGAAGUUGGCAUAAAUAAUAAAGUAAAUUAAGACGUCAGAUCAAGGUGCAGCCUAUAAAAAGGAGAGGAUGGGUUACAAUUAUAUAAUAGUAAUAUGGAUAGUUUAAUGUAAAAAGCUUAAAAGCGGACUUAAAAGUAAUUAUGUAAUAUAUAAAUAUUUUGAAUUAGGCUCUGAAACGUGC